GGAUUGCAGUCUGCAACUCGACUGCACGAAGCUGGAAUCGCUAGUAAUCGCGAAUCAGAAUGUCGCGGUGAAUACGUUCCCGGGCCUUGUACACACCGCCCGUCACACCAUGGGAGUUGGAAGCACCCGAAGUCGGUGACCUGACCGAAGGGGAGGAGCCGCCGAAGGUGAAGCCAGCGACUGGGGUGAAGUCGUAACAAGGUAUC
rnacentral:rRNA from 1 species